GAUGAACGCUAGCUACAGGCUUAACACAUGCAAGUCGAGGGGUAACGAGAGGGAAGCUUGCUUUCCUUGUCGACGACCGGCGCACGGGUGAGUAACGCGUAUCCAACCUGCCCCCAACUAAGGAAUAACCUUGCGAAAGUAAGACUAAUACCCUAUAAUUUCCUCAGAUGACAUCUGACGAGGAAUAAAGAUUUAUCGGUUGUGGAUGGGGAUGCGUCUGAUUAGCUUGUUGGCGGGGUAACGGCCCACCAAGGCAACGAUCAGUAGGGGUUCUGGGAGGAAGGGCCCCCACAAUGGAACUGAGACCCGGUCCAAACUCCUACGGGAGGCAGCAGUGAGGAAUAUUGGUCAAUGGGCGGAAGCCUGAACCAGCCAAGUAGCGUGCAGGAUGACGGCCCUAUGGGUUGUAAACUGCUUUUAUACAGGAAUAAAGUUAGCCACGUGUGGUUAUUUGUAGGUACUGUAUGAAUAAGGACCGGCUAAUUCCGUGCCAGCCGCCGCAGUAA
rnacentral:rRNA from 1 species